UAUUAUUUCCGACACCCCUUGAACACACUUUGAUUUUCCGUAGUUCAGUGAAUGCAACAUACGCACGCUGCUGCAUUAAGCUAGACAAAACGGAGCAAGACACCGAGAGCAAUCAACAAGCUACACAAGCCGUUUAUGUGUUUUGCUCUCGACCAAACCAGGUGGAGCGUGUGUUUGUUUCUUGGGAACUCCGACUGUUUUAUUUUUGUGAUCCUGGAUCUGAUCCUGAAGUGGUUCUGGAUAUGGAUGGCGAGAUGGCGAGCCAGACCCUGUGAAAACUCUUGGCGAAUCCAAAAGCAGUGUGGCCAGCUGUUCUGGAUGCAGGAGUAGAUCUACAGAUGUGAAUUACUUCAAAUCGCAGGAUUUCAGAUAAGCAAGAGCAACAACUACUUACUCCAUACGGAUCGUUUCUCUGAAAAACUAUUGAACUCACAAUAUCCUGCUCAUCAGGAGUCAGGUCUAAAGAGACUACUUAUUUUAUUUUAUUAUAUUUUGUUGUUAUUUUCAAAAGAGCGCUCUUCUCUGUUGAUCUUCUGUUAAUUUUCUAUGUUGUUUACAUUGGGUUAUUGCACCAUUGUAACAUUGUAAUAAAUCUGCCGGCUGUUCAACACUCAA